rnacentral:pre_miRNA from 2 species
GAUUUCAACUGAAAAAGUCAUCAAUAACAAAGUUGUAUAAAUCAUCAAGAUCUAUAACUUUUAUUUUGGUCAUUUCUUCAUCCGAUAAAGUGACAGUAACAUUGUUCACAAAAUUUACAUAUCUCUCAUUUGGUUUUACAAUCUAUAAGAGAGGUAUAUAAAUUUUGUGAACAAUAUUACUAUAACUUCGUCGGAUGAAGAAAUGACCAAAAUAAAAGUUCUAUGUCUUGAUGAGUUCUACAACUUUUAUGUUUUAUUUACUGCUUCAAAAUAUC